CGCUGGCAGCCUUGGUUGACCUCCGCUACUUCCGCAGUUUUAGCACUGUUUUAUCUUACUUUUACGCUCCAUGUGUAAUACUAAUUAGGUGAGUUUUCAUCGCGGUUCUUUUCCCGCUUACGUGUCUCGCUUCACGAGAGCUGGAGUUUGUGAAUCAACGUUACCGGUGAGCCAAGAGCGGCGCCACCAGAGGGAGCGACAGUGCGGCUAGCUUGCUGCGGCUAGCUUACUAACAUCACGGCUGCUAACCGGGACGAGGCCAACGUCCGGCAGCUAACCGACCUAACAGAGAAAACAACCAGUGGAAAACGACGCGUUGGAUUGACAACAGGCAGAGGUAAAACUCUGCCUUGUCCGGUGUCUGUGUUCACAGAGAGACAGCGCAGUGGCCUCCAACUGCUGAGCAGGAGCCUUAAGGAAGCGACAGGCAAAAAGAAGCGAAAUAAUGCCUCCAAAA